GCAAAAAUGAAAUGAAAUGUACCAGUAGACAGGUGGCGUAGUGUAGCUAAAUUAAAUUACACUGAGCCGUUAGAGACUGGUUUUGUUGGUUUAAUUUAUGCUUCGGGAAACUUGAAACCUCCCAUUUCAAAAUAAAGGAGGGUUCACCAUUGUGAAGCAACAAUAAUUCAUAUAAAAAUAAAACUGAAAUAAAUUCUGAAAAUAUAACAGCACGACAAUAAAACAAACUGCGAUGGUGAUAAUACGCAGAUGUUUUUUUUUCUUUAAUUAACAAAUAACUAAGGAAAAAGUCUGUGUUGAAAUUGAUAUACGCUUUCGUUGACACGUACUUCGGCAUGAAAAACUAACGAAGAACGCAACGCCUAUCAAAAGCG
rnacentral:lncRNA from 1 species